GACGAACGCUGGCGGCGUGCCUAAUACAUGCAAGUAGGACGCUGAAGGAGGAGCUUGCUUCUCUGGAUGAGUUGCGAACGGGUGAGUAACGCGUAGGUAACCUGCCUGGUAGCGGGGGAUAACUAUUGGAAACGAUAGCUAAUACCGCAUAAUAGUAGAUGUUGCAUGACAUUUGCUUAAAAGGUGCAAUUGCAUCACUACCAGAUGGACCUGCGUUGUAUUAGCUAGUUGGUGGGGUAACGGCUCACCAAGGCGACGAUACAUAGCCGACCUGAGAGGGUGAUCGGCCACACUGGGACUGAGACACGGCCCAGACUCCUACGGGAGGCAGCAGUAGGGAAUCUUCGGCAAUAGACGGAAGUCUGACCGAGCAACGCCGCGUGAGUGAAGAAGGGUUUCGGAUCGUAAAGCUCUGUUGUAUGAGAAGAACGAGGGUGAGAGUGGAAAGUUCACACUGUGACGGUAUCUUACCAGAAAGGGACGGCUAACUACGUG
rnacentral:rRNA from 1 species